GUCUUACUUGUACAUUGCCACUUUUUGAAGACUGUGUCUUACUUGUACAUUUCCACUUGUUGAAGACUGUGUCUUACUUGUACAUUGCCACUUGUUGAAGACUGUGUCUUACUUGUACAUUGCCACUAGUUGAAGACUGUGUCUUACUUGUACAUUGCCAUUUGUUGAAGACUGUGUCUUACAUUUACAUUGCCACUUGUUGAAGACUGUCUUACUUGUACAUUGCCACUUGUUGAAGACUGUGUCUUACUUGUACAUUGCCACUUGUUGAAGACUGUGUCUUACAUUUACAUUGCCACUUGUUGAAGACUGCAUGUAGCCCUUAAGAUAUCUCUGUCUUAGUUAUUACACUUAUUUCUAGUAUACUAUAUUGAUGACCGUAUGUUGCCUCC
rnacentral:lncRNA from 1 species